rnacentral:sRNA from 1 species
AAAAAAGAAUGUAGUACCAGCCUUAACUAUGAAAUUAAUGCACCUGAGGUCUGGUGAAGGAAAAUAAUUGAUAAAAGGUUCCAACAACAUUGUAAAAAGGAGAAAGAGUAUCAUUUCUGUUUUUUUCGUUUGAAUGGUGGUAAAGUUUAUACCCCAGCCCGGAAGCUCCUUCAGGUCAGUUAGGUGGAUGUUUUGUGGAACACAUUACCCGGACUGUAUGAACAAUUUGACUAAAGGCUAGGUUGCCAUAGUGUGUACUAGUUCAGUAUUCUCGGGAAAAUUCUUGGAGACUACAU